GAUGAACGCUGGCGGCGUGCUUAACACAUGCAAGUCGAACGGAAAGGCCCUGCUCUUGUGGGGUGCUCGAGUGGCGAACGGGUGAGUAUCACGUGAGUAACCCGCCCCUGACUUUGGGAUAAAUUUAGGAAAAUGGGGCUAAUAUAGGAUAGGAGCUCCUACACCACGGUGGGGGUUGGAAAGUUUCGGCGGUUGGGGAUGGUCUCGCGGCUUAUCAGCUAGUUGGGGGGGUAGUGGCUUACCAAGGGUUCGACGGGUAGCCGGCCUGGGCGGGGGGCCGGCGUCAUGGGGACUGAGGUAGGGCCCAGAAGGCUACGGGAGGCAGCAGGGGGGAGUAUUACGCAGUGAGGGGGAGCCUGAUGUGGCGGCGCUGCGUGCGGGAUAACGGCCUACUAGGGAUGAACCGCUUUGGACGGAGACAAAGCGUGCGUGACGGUAAUGGAUAAAGAAGCACCGGCUAACUACGUG
rnacentral:rRNA from 1 species